AAAAAUAGGACCAAGCAGCUUUAAAUGUUCAUAUUGCCAAGAAAUUCUGAUUCCAUACAUGCAUGGUUAAUACACUCUUGCAUUAGACAUGCCAUAUGUGGGUUCUUUUGUACCAACUUUGAACAUCAACUUCCUGUUAAAUGAUGACUUUGUUGUGUAUAUUCACAUCAGAGCGGGAGUAUUACUAAUAAGCAUCGGCUCACAGAUAUCUUGUUUGAGGUCUGCCUUUGUUGUAGAAGUUUGUUUGCAAAAUGUUAUCUUUGACCUACGUGUAUGGGACUUGCAGAACUUUUUCAGAUGUGGCGUUCUGAAGGUUGCUGCUCCAAAACUUAAGGUCUUUCCUAUGAGCAAGUGCUGUUGCAUCCAUGAUGACAUUGACUGGAGAUGACCCACACUGACCACAUUGAAACCCUUUUUCAAAAUCGAUUGUGGAACACAACAACUCCAGAAAUCCAUACCAAGCAAACUUAAAAUGUGCAUAUGAAAAGGUCUUUUGGAAUCGAAGGUCAUUUGAUCUCUCGUGGCUGUCUCUCAGGGACAAAAAGUUAAUCACCUAUUUCUUGUAAACAAGUCCAUGAACUCGAACAGAACUUCAUACGCAAUGAGAGCAUGGCUUGUGUGAAAGACGCAGUGCUCUUGUCCAUCAUACUUCAAGAGUGCAUCACAGGUGUUGUUGCUGCAUUUUCUUUCAGCCACUGAAAUGAAGGGAAGAGACUUUGAAUUCAAAAGUUCAUUUGACCACAUGCUGCCACACUGCCCGCAAACACCGUCUCUUGGUUCAGCAAGAAGACCUUCUGGAAUUCUAUCAAGAAGAGGUCUGGAAUAUUGCUGCUUCAGGUCCACAUCGAGAUCAAAAGGAAUGCCUUUACUGGAAAAAACUUUAACCCAAGGACAUGAUGAUAUUUUUUUGGAGGCAUUCUCUGGCAAGUCAAUGUUCAAGGUCUUUGCAUUUUCAACUAAAAAUGACGUAUGUUCACAUUGAGGUGAUUUGCAUGUAAUGCAUAACAUUUUUUCUUUAUAUGUUACAAUCCCACAUGAUCCGUGGCUUGUGACACAAAGGUAAUCGCCAUCCCAUGACAACUCCUGUAUUCUGUUAUCGUCAUUCUACAAUAAAGGGUUUUCACGGGAGUCGUAUCUUUCCAUCAGGAAAGCAAUCGCAUCAAUGUGAAGGCAUCUCGGAUACUUCUGCAGGAAAGCUAUUAUGGCAGAGAGAAGAGAAAGUACAGAAAAAAAUUAUACGACCGUGAUUCUGGAUACCCCAGGAAUAGUGACUAACGAUAUCUAUGGCAAGCCAAAGUUUUGAUCAUUGUUAUACAGAAUGUACCUUCAUAUGAUAUAUCAACAGAGUCCGAGAGUCCAUUGAUUAGUGAUGCCCUAGUGGUGUUGCACUCGCAUGCGAAGCACCAGUGAAAUGCACUUUCUAUGAAGCAGAGGCUCUUUCUGCGAACAAACAGAAAUGUGUUUGCCUGAAAGAAAAAAAAACAAAGUACCUAUAUAUGAAAGGAGCUGUGUGUUUAUAAUGCUUACUCUGGUGAUUUGUCAUGUAUAAAUUCAGUCUGUUUCAUUUGAUUAUGCUUAUAUUUUGUUCACCUUAAGAGUAUAUUAAGGCUUGUCAUGCUAAAUGAAGGUUAAGUAUGUGUUAACUGUUUAGGUAUAAUGUGUACUUUCUGCAGCUUGAUACUUUUGUGGCAUAAAUCUUUAAAGGUAACAAAAAUAUUAUUCUUCUUUACCAAUUUUUGCGAUUACAUUAGACAAAUCUGAACAUAGAACUAUUAUCCCAAUACACUGUAUCAAAUGUGGACUCGUUUAUGCGUUUCUCAGUACUUCGCUCUGGUAUUACAACCAAUACAGUGUUUGAUUAGGGUGUUUAUUUUUCAUUAUGUAAACAGCCAUCUGUUGAUUCCAGAAUCUUAUGUAAUUUUAAUUUCUGUUGAUUUUUCAUACCUGAAUAUACUAUCACAGAGAAUACAUGCUCUACAGCAUUCAUAUUUUGAUAUACCUCAAGCUGCCUGGCAUUCAUAUCAUAGUCUCUCAGUACAAAGUGGUUGAAAAAAUCUCCAAUAGGAGUAAACCCUUUGUACAGCAACAGAAGUUCCAUGUAGCAUUGAAGGUCUGUGGAAAAACUCUGUAAAGAAGUUAAUAAUUCUUUAGAACGUUGAAUAAAUUCAAGUGAUGUGUAACAUCUACUUCUUUCAAACUAAUGAAAAUAUUUUUUUUUUCGUUUUUUUUGCUACCUAAUUGCUUAGAUUUGUUUAAGAUUGUGCUUCGUAGAACUAACACCCUUAGUUGAACCCUAUUGAUAUUACAAGACUAAAGGUCAAAGAUUCACAGCUAAAUUUUUGCCAUCAGAAAGAUAUUUUUUUCAUCAUUUGUGUAAUUUGUUUCCUAUUAAACAAAACUGGUAACAAUUAAGGUAUCUCACUUCGCCUAGACUUGCACUAGUACAUCACAAGGCGGUAAUUGAAAUGUUUUGUUAAAUUGUUUGUAUUGAUCAUUUUUGUUGAAUAUCGUCAUAGCUCAGCUGGCUUGUUAACAGCAGAUAAUGAGUUCAAAUCCAGGGAUUUUUGUUCACAUUUACUGAGAUUACAUGUUUGAAAAUACAAACUUUUAUGCAGAAUUGCAUAUUUAACAAGUAUCAAGUAGUUUUUGGCUGCAUGAGUUUAGAAAACAUUUCAAGGUUAAGUAAGCCUCCUUAGUACAAUUCUUAUUGAAAUUUUCAUUGUAACCCAGACAUGAUUUUUAAGGGAACAAUAUUAUAUAUUUAAUUAAACAUUGUUAUUUACAUUAUUGUGAUAUAUACCUCAAAUACACUUGAUCCAUAUGCUAUUUUCUCUCCCUCUUCAAUGCUUUCUGAGAAAGUAUGGCUAGUGAUUUCUGUUGCGUUCUUUUCUGUGCAGUUCCGCUUUGCUAGAAUUUUUUUUUUUUUUUAGAAAACAUUGACAUUUUGAUCUCUUUGUGAUUAUUUUAUUUAUUAAGUAAAUUUCUCUAAUAAUAAUUGAUGGUCAAGUUUUAGCUCACUGAGACAAAGUUGGGGUGGGGGUAUUGGUGCUAUACUGGACAUUUUUAAAUGUUUUGGAGCAUCAUAUACAACAUUCUUUUUUAAAAUGAGACAAUAUUGUAUGAUUUGAUAUAAUACAUGUAUUUUACAUUUGUAAUCAUAAUGUAAUGUAAUAUAUAACAUUGAAAAGGAAGUUGUAUAAUAUGAGCCUAUCAUUUAAUAUUCAUGAAUAUAAUUAUUUGUAUUGUAUUGUGUAUGAGCCUAUGCUAUAGCAUAUCAUUUAAUAUUGAAUAUAAUAAUUGUAUUAAACAACACAAUAUCUUGUUAUUUGUAUUGUAUUAUGUAUGUAUCAAAUUUUGAACAUUGUAUCAUACCACACAUUACAAUAUGAAAUAUAGAUCAUUAAUUAUAUCAUUUAGGCCACCCUUUUGUCCAUCUGAGAUCACUUGUCUAGAGGAUGACCUCUCUCGUUGGCUCAAUUCAGCUCAUGCUUCACACAGAGUGUGAGGGGUGUGCGGUAAACUUGAGCUAAGUCUGUAUGUCUGAUAUUUAAGGUCAUGGCAGAACUUUGAAAAUCUCGCUGAAAAAUAUUUGUGAUUCAUAAUUCUUUUCAAUACACUUCGCCAAAAGAAAGUAUAUUUGGUCUGUCUGCAGUUACCUUGAAAGUUUUUAGGUCAAGGGUCAAGGUCGUUAAUUACAUUAAUUUGAGAUGGUUACCAUCGCAAUGAUAUUUAGUAAAAUGAUGCCUUAUCCCAGUGAGCUUAGUAAUUACACAUUUUAAAGUUCUCUUUGAGAUACUUACAUUGUCUUGGGGUACCCUUGAUUCUUCGCUUUAAUUUGGGUAUAGCAGACAGGUCCAGCUUGCUUUCAUUAUUGAGAACAAUAUCUUUGGAAAAACUUUUAGCUGUAAUUUGAGAUUUAAUGUUAUGUGUUGAAUUUAUUCUUGAACAUAAAUGAGUUUGUUUUGGUCAAUAAAAUUGUAUAAAACG